rnacentral:tRNA from 1 species
UGAUAAAGAAAGGAAUUGAACCAAUGUUAGUAGGACUACAGCCUACCGCCUAUUGCUCGGCCACUUUACCU